UAUAUAUAUGACUGACGCUUGGGUGAUUAUCCACAUUUAGGACAUCCAUCUCCUGUUUGUAGAAGUUACACCAGCCGUACAAUAAAAUUCCGUUCUAAAAUUGAAUUGGACACACAUUUGUCUGUUAUGUAUUAUCAGAAAAUAGCUAGUUAAAAUUCUGCUUGCCAUGCACUCUUGCAACUAAAACUGUAGUAACAGUCAAUGGAAAUUAUAAAGAUUACCCGUAGUUUUAAUGAUGGAUACUGCUUUGGACUUGCUGCUAAAAUUCAAAUUGUUGUGUCAUCCACAUUUAUAAAACCAAACUGCCAAAUUGGCAAACGCUCAGCGAGCUUCGCACUCGCAUGAAAAUCAGGAUGCGGCAACAUUUGCGCUGCGCCACACAUACACCAUCUACGAAAACAGAGCUCUGAAUGUUUGAAAGACCGAAAACCGCCAAACCACGCCUUCGUGGUUUCGAUUAUCAUAUUCUUUGUUGAGAGUUUCCGAUUGUUUCAGAAGAAGGAACUUUAUUUUUUCUCAAGCUCUCUAGAGAGUCACACUCUAGUUCUAGUUUUCCCAGCGUGCCUGAGCCAAUGCUACUGUGUGCAGUUGUUGUCACAGCAUGGUACCAAUAAUACAAUUGCAAGGUUAUGGAUUGCAGAGAAAAAUACACAUGAUUUUUAAUAGCUUGUGUAUAUUUGGGUUAGUAGUGAGCAUGUCUACCUUACGUUUCUGAGGUUUGGGGUGCAUGAGUUUUCUACGGGUACUCCGGCUCCCUCCCACAUUCUAGAAACAUGCAUGUUAGGUUAAUUAAAGCGUCUAAAUAAUCUGUAGGUGUGAAUGUGAGUAUGGAUGGUUGUUUGUCUAAAUGUGCCCUGAUUAGCUUGCGACCAGGCCAUCCAUUUAACACGCCGCAACCAUAAUGUGGUGUAGGAUGAAUGGAUGUUUUGUUGCAUUUUCAUGUCGUCAAACGUGUGAAAUUGCUUUUCAGGAGUCAUCAUGUAGUUGAGCAAGCACGAGAAGACAAUGGACAGGCAUAUGAGGCAGUGAAAUGGGGAAAGGGUCAUCUUGGGCAUGACUCAGAAUGAAAAGCUGCAGAUACUGCAUGUGUUUAUCAGGUGCAAGUCAGAGACUUGUGACAAAGAAUAAGAAAAAGACUCAAUCGAGCUGAGUGGCAGAAGACUUGAAUUCUUAUAUGAAACAUUAAGCAGUGUUUAUUACAGAGGUUGAUAAUAAAUAUGUGUUUGGUGACUGAAUAAAAAUGCAUCAUACUGAGUGGUGUUUCUUAUAUUUUGCCACUUCUGUGUAGCUGAAUAAUCAUCAAAAUAGUAGAAACACUUCUGUAUCUGUAUCUAUAUGAAUAUAAACAUAUUAUAGGCACCUGCAGUUUAUUCAGUGUUUAGGAAAUUUAAAGUAGUAGUUAUGUAGUUCCUACAUAAAUACAAUUAUUUGGUUUUCAUUAAAGAUGUUUAUAACAACAGAAAACAUUUUAAAAUGUUCAUCUUUGGAAUUUGAUCAUGCUAUUGCAGUCAUGUUGGGGGGAAAAAACAUUUAAUCAACAAUUAAUCAUGGCUUUAAUUAAUAUUUUUAUUUUUUCCACUUGUUCCACACUUAAUUUGUGUGAACAUAAUCAAUGUAAAAAUAUUUAGUUAAUAACAUAGACAUAAAUGAACACAUAAACACUAUUGUUAACAACACAAUUGUGUGGAACCGGUUGUCAAGAAAAUAUUAAUCAAAGCAAUGUCUUUUCUUUUUCUUUUUUUUUUCCUUCUUUUUUUAAGAAGUGUGGCGACACACGCACAUUAUUGAUUUCUUUUUUUGCCUCGCCUCUUUCUACUCUUGUACGCUCGACUUGUAGCUGUACCUUGUUGUUCUCCAUUUCAAGUUUGAAGAUUGAAACCACCCCAUUUUCUUUCACUGUGCAUCUUUAUUAUCUUGUCGAUGUAAAUGUAGACAAAGGCUUCAUUCAGUUGAAACUUUACAGUGUGUUAAAUUGAUGUCUCUCUGGUAUCUACUGAGCAUUAGUAUCUGUCAAAUAGCACUUUUGAUACAACUCUUAUAUUGGAGCUCUUGUACUAUCUGCAAUGAAGUAUCUGGUGAUUGUUAAAUCAGUCAGGUGAAGGAACUGUCAUGGUCUCAAAAUAUCCAUUCAUUUGUUGAUUUAAUUGUUAGGAAGAAAUAUGUUUCAUAAGUGAAAAACAUGAAAUAAGGUUUUUUUUUAAAAGGGCUGAUUAAGCGUUUAAUAAAAGUUUACACCAAGGCAGAAAAGAGGAACCUGUAGACAACAAGAGGAAACUCCCCCAAACUCUCAAGAAAAAGGAAGAAAGCAAAAUGGUGAGCGGGAAGAAGUCUUCAUCAUGUGGUCGGACUUCUCACGUUGUCAGUGCUUACAUUUUCCUGAAACCAGCCAGCCCCAAGAAAAAAGGGGGACCAGCCUUUACCUGAGAACGAUGCCUCUUUUCUGGGUGCUGCUUUGGUUAGUGCUCCCCCCACUGACUCUCCUCUCUCAUCCAGACGGAUGUAUCAUUCAUGACACCGACACCUCACGCAACGUGUUAAUGGAGUUAUUACAGUGUCAUAAUGACUAUGAAUCGUACGUCUACUGCAAGUGGUGGGAGGGCCCACACCUACGUGCACCACUGCAGCUCUGGUUCCACACGGAACGCAGCAGGGAGCGAUGUGAGAACUCUAGCGUCGAGGUCCAAAAGGCAGAUGGGAACAGGACUGUCCAGUGUAGAUAUGAAACGCAUUCUUUUUCCAUUGGCAUCAAUCACACGGUCUUCUUUGUCGAGGACGACGCACUCUGCUCAUCUGCCCCACGCAAGCCCCUGAAGCUUUCUGAUCACGUGAGAGCACGCACACCUGUGGAUUUGUCAAAAUAUGACACCGAUGAUGGACAGCUGUGGAUCAAAUGGUCCAGCCCUUAUCCUGCAUCCUCAUCCCUGAACAAAAACCUCAUGUACCAAGUCGGCUACAAGGGAGAAAGACAGGACACGUGGACUAUUAUGAAUGUGACAAGCACAGAUGUCAAACUAGAGACACGACUGCUGCUUCCAGGUCACAGGUACGAGGCCAGGGUGAGGGGCUGGGCCGGUGUGGGCCAGUGGAGUCACUGGAGCCCCGUCGUGAUGUGGAGGACUAAAGAAGACAGCAGGCACUUUCCCAGCUUGUAUUGUGUGCUGGAUGGAGAGGACAAAGUCAUGUGUAGCUGGGAGGUGAGCAGAGCGCUGGAUCACGUAAUUACCUACCAGCUGGCCUGUCAACACAACCACACUGCACCGUCUGAGAGCUGCUGUGAGAACCCGACCGUCACCUUUGACCCCAGUAGGCCACUAGUACGAUACAGCUGCUGGCUGACUGUCGCGAGGCCUGCACAACUGCUGCUUAAACUUCAACCAACUCGCAAUGCAAAGACGUUCAGGGCCAAUAAGCACAUUCGUCCCAGGCCACCACAGCAGGUGAGAGUGGAAGAAAAAGGCAACAACUGGAUAGUGGAAUGGACUGAACCCAGCACAGCCUCCAAAAUCCGACUAUAUUAUCAAGUGCGCUAUUACAAGACACAGGAUGAGCAGGGGUCCUCUCUGCUGCUGAACAUUUCAGAAGGCUCCACAUCAGUGAGCAUCCUGGGGCCAUCCCUGAGCCCAUCCCAGCACCACCGGGUCCAAGUCAGAUCUGUAGUCAUCCCUGGAGAGGGUUCACUUUAUGAAGGAAGCCCCUCCGAAUGGAGCGAGCCAGCGGACUGGACUUCACACGCAGCCACGUGGCCCCUCACCACCAAGGUGUAUUUCUGCCUCAGUGCGACUGUAGCCAUAAUCUUCUUGGCACUGCUACUCUACUGCACCAUCUCAUCCUGUCAGAGGAAAAUAAUUAUUUGGGUGGGCACUGUUCCUUCUCCUGGCAAAAGCAAAACCUUGUCAGAGAUCAAGUCUGCCACCUCCUGGGCCUUGAUAGAGAACGAGAACACUUACAUGAGCAAAGUGGAGCAAUUGUACAGCUUGUCUACAUGCACAUCCCCAAGCUCCUCGCUGUGGCCAACUGAGGGUGCUGAAAAUAAAGAUUUGGAGCAGGACCGACAGGACUACAAGUCUAAUAGUUCGUCCCUCACUGCUGAGAAGGUUAAUGGCUGUGACCUUACAAUGCACUUCAGCGGCCCAUAUAUCCUCUGUCAGUCAUUAGACUCCAAGUGCAUGUGUGAAGAGACAAAGGAGAACGAAGUAACAUCAUCAGAGGCUCCUUCCUCGGUGGUCGUCACACACAAUGUAGAAGGUUAUGUGUGCCUCCCCCGUGGCAGCGUCUCCACUUCCACAUCGAAUCUGGCGUCGCACUGGGAUGCCAAUGUAAACGCACAAAAGCGUGAGCAGAACCACCAGAGCGCAGAUAACCCAGUGCUGCUCGACAUCAGGCCCGCCAGCAGUGACCCGCCUCCAGCAUACAGCUCAGAGUCCGCCUGGCCCACCAUAAGGGCCUCAGGGUACUGUCUUCUGCCACCUCCUUCUUAAGAGCACUUGAGCACGAUGAAUUUUGACAGUUGCUUAUGGAAAGCUGUUUGAACAUGUAAUCAUUAUCCUUUCUAAUCUACGAGUGCGCGCUUUGUCCUCAGUAGUAACACAAUUCAGUCACUAGUAGACACACUACUAAUGGGCAUGUGUCAUGCACUAGUCACCCAUUGGUAGCCCCAAAAUGACCACUAAGAGCACCAAGGCAUUUUUCCCCUCACUAGUGCUAGAAGUACCAAAAUGCCCACAAGUAAGGUAUGUUUCACCUUUCUCGUACUAGUAGUAACAGUGUGAAUGCCCACUAGUAGUACUAGCAAACCAAAAUGUCCACUAGUAGCACAAGUAAGAUGGUUUUGACCUUACUAGUGUGGGUCAAAAUUCCUACUCGUAAUACAAGUAUUCUUUUUUUGACAUACUACUGGUAAGGUCCUAUCUGCCUCCAAGUAGCUAACUACUAGUCGUUGCUUGUCCUGUCAGGGUUUGCCGCAUCGAGUCACUCACAUGAUUUGUUAUAGCCCAGUUUUGACUACUUGUGCCAAUACUUUAGAGCCAAAGCAGCCGAUACCAUAAAUUGUGAUAUUUAUGACCAUACUAGUAGUACUAGUAAAGGCAAAUAUGCUCACUUGAUGAACAAUUGAAUACCAAAGUACUUGCAAGUAACUAAAGGACAGUGAAUAAAUGCUCAAACAGUUUUUCAUGCUUGCUGCUUAGUUUUAUCAAAAAUAGCCAUAUCAUCACAUUAGAGUUUCACAUCUGACCAGUGGGGGGCAGUAGUUAGCUGAGACCAAAAAAUACUUUUUAUACAGUACAAAGUAGUUGCUGCACAAGUAUUCUUUUUACUAAAACAGGAUUAAACAGCAACUAUCAAUUCAAUGAGAUCCAAUGUAAUAGCUGGGGGGAAAUUAUUUUACACUCAAAAGGUUUUAAUUUAACCAUGCUUAUUAUUGCGUUUGUGGUAUUCAGUUGAGCUGCACUUUAACAUAUGGAGAAGUAGCAGUUUGGUUAGCCUAUUUAGCUACAUGAAAAGGGCAAAGUAUUAGAAACAUUGCAUAUCUUUGACCGUCAAGAGAACUGUUAAUGCUGCCAAGCAAUUGUUUAUUCACUGUUUGUUACCAGGGUUUUACAAAAUGUGGUCCUUGUAAAGGCAGUUUUUCUGACAGCACUUAAUCUCAUUCAUUAUGCAGGUGUACCGAAUACUAUUGCAAGCACACAUUCUAAUCACAUGGACAUUUAAAAAACUGUUAUCCUAAUUGCUUCCAUUAAAAUUUUUUUUAAAAAAAGCCAAAAAGUGAAGUGCUGAAGUUCAUAAGUUCAUAAAUACUGUCAUGUUUGCUAUGUGGCCAUAUAUGCAUGUUUGCACAGAGGUGUGUGUUUUUGUGACUUGUUGUUAAUGUCCAAGCUUGGCAGGCGCUGAAUACGUAAAAAAAAAAAAAAAAAGAGAAAAAAAGUUCUCGACAUUGCAAUGAUACUGCAACACGGCAGCGGUCAUGAUGGUGUGAAAACAUUUAGCUCGUGACCAGCUUCAAGGGCCUCCACAUGGAACAAGUGCGUGUUUAGAGUGUUUUCUUGAAAGAUUGCAUUCCUAAAUGGAGGGGUCAUACUGUAUAUCGUGUGAAUUGUUUACUCACAAACACACCUUAUACAGAAGGAAAUACAAUACAGCACUUGAUUUGACUUGAAGAAUAAAGGUACAGUGAACUCCCACUAUUCAGAGGGGGAUAGGGACUGAGCCGAAAUAUGCCACAAGAUGGCGGCAAAGCACAUUUUUAUAUAUAUUAGACAAGGCUAUGGCCUUAUGAGCCUAUCUCACUGGCGGAGACGUCACCGCGACAGCCGAGACUGGUCAGUCACGGCAACUCUGGCGACCUGGGAGAUCAAAAUAUUGCUUGCGCUUUCACCAGGACGACGUCUCGGAGACGUCUCCUGACAAGGUGACAAGUCGCUGAUAUAGGCCUAUAUACAGUAUAUAUAGUCUUUAAAGAACUAUAACUUAUAUUAUGUUUUGAGUGUGUGUGUGCGUGUGUGUGUGUGUUUUAAAAUGGAGAUGGAAAGUUAAUAUUGAUUGAUUGAUUGAUUGAUUGAUUGAUUGAUUGAUUGACCUCAGCUCCAGAGAGUGAGACAUCAGUUUUCACGUGUAAUAUAUGAAUGAAGACACACAGGCUUAAGAACAGUUUACAAUUCAGAUGAAACUGUUAACACUUUUAACAUAUGACAGCUCGAAUGUUAAUUGUUAUUUCUGUUUUGGCUUCUCACCUUUAUAAAAAGAAUAACUGAAGAAAAACAAGUAAUGCAGCUGUAGCUUGGUGUCCACCGCACUAAUCAUUUAUUUGUGACACAAGUAUUCUUUUCUUUUGUGGUCAAACCUCAAUUGGGUGACGUAUCCCGAAGUGGCGGCGGCAGCCCUCCACACUCAGCCGCCAGAGCACAGAUUCCCGGACGGUCUAAACUUGAUUCACCUGGUCAGUCUCCAGGAGAUGUGGCGGCGCUGUCUCCGCAAGCAGCGGAGACUCACGUCGCAUCAUGUCGCCAACUCGUCUCCAGGCCAGUGAUAAUAGGUACUUUCCUAAUGAAGCUCCUCCCCUCAGUUCUACAUAGGUACUUUCCUAAUGAAGCUCCUCCCCUCAGUUCUACAUAGUUGCUUGGCACAUGAUGACACCAAAGCAAUAUUUCUAUGUUAAACAUGAGCACAAAACAGCGAAUAGGUGAGUUUUCAGCGAAUAACAGAGGAUCCGUUGCCCCAAAAAGAGGCAAAUCUGCAAAUGUCGAACCACGUACAGUAUUAGCGGGGGCUCUCUAUACUAACACUCCGAAAGUGGUCCAAUUUGGAGUUCUACCAAGCUUUUCUGAAAAUAUGUGCCUGAAAAGUCAAACAAAAGUAACCAGUAAUUGAGAAGAUUAAGUUUUUAAGUGGAUUUUUCUUUUUCUUUGGCUUUUAUGUGACUUGACUACCAAUGGAUACCGAAUUAAAAAUGGAACAUACUGCUACAUGUGGAAGGUUCUGGCUGCUUAGUAAAAUAUGACCAAUACUUUUGCAGUUGCUUUAUACUUCAAGAAUAUUAAAAUGUUAUCGAAAACAUUAGUCAAAAUUUUAUACAGUUUACAAUGUAAGCCUGAAUUGAAUACAUUUUGAAUUUUCUCAUAGGGGAAAAUUUAGAAGAAAAAAAAGAACAGAUUUGUAGUAAACCAGCAUCAGAAUGUGUUCAACCUUGGAGGUUCUGCUGUACUUUGAUAUAUGCUUUUGUAAAGGUCUCUAUGUCCACUAUAAUAAAUUU